GUUUGUCGCGUCUGCCGUGAAAGUCCGGGGCUCAACUCCGGAUCUGCGGUGGGUACGGGCAGACUAGAGUGAUGUAGGGGAGACUGGAAUUCCUGGUGUAGCGGUGAAAUGCGCAGAUAUCAGGAGGAACACCGAUGGCGAACGCAGGUCUCUGGGCAUUAACUGACGCUGAGGGGCGAAAGCAUGGGGAGCGAACAGGAUUAGAUACCCUGGUAGUCCAUGCCGUAAACGUUGGGCACUAGGUGUGGGGGACAUUCCACGUUUUCCGCGCCGUAGCUAACGCAUUAAGUGCCCCGCCUGGGGAGUACGGCCGCAAGGCUAAAACUCAAAGGAAUUGACGGGGGCCCGCACAAGCGGCGGAGCAUGCGGAUUAAUUCGAUGCAACGCGAAGAACCUUACCAAGGCUUGACAUGGACCGGACCGGGCUGGAAACAGUCCUUCCCCUUUGGGGCCGGUUCACAGGUGGUGCAUGGUUGUCGUCAGCUCGUGUCGUGAGAUGUUGGGUUAAGUCCCGCAACGAGCGCAACCCUCGUUCCAUGUUGCCAGCGCGUAAUGGCGGGGACUCAUGGGAGACUGCCGGGGUCAACUCGGAGGAAGGUGGGGACGACGUCAAAUCAUCAUGCCCCUUAUGUCUUGGGCUUCACGCAUGCUACAAUGGCCAGGUACAAAGGGUUGCGAU
rnacentral:rRNA from 1 species